UACGGGGGGGGCAAGCGUUGUUCGGAAUUACUGGGCGUAAAGGGCUCGUAGGCGGCCAACUAAGUCGGAUGUGAAAUCCCCAGGCUUAACCUGGGAACUGCAUCCGAUACUGGAUGGCUUGAAUUCGGGAGAGGGAUGCAGAAUUCCAGGUGUAGCGGUGAAAUGCGUAGAUAUCUGGAGGAAUACCGGUGGCGAAGGCGGCAUCCUGGACCGAGAUUGACGCUGAUGGGCGAAAGCUAGGGGAGCAAACGGG
rnacentral:rRNA from 1 species